rnacentral:rRNA from 1 species
CCUACGGGAGGCAGCAGUAGGGAAUCUUCCGCAAUGGACGAAAGUCUGACGGAGCAAUGCCGCGUGAGUGAAGAAGGUUUUCGGAUCGUAAAACUCUGUUGUUAGAGAAGAACAAGGAUGAAAGUAACUGCUCAUCCCCUGACGGUAUCUAACCAGAAAGCCACGGCUAACUACGUGCCAGCAGCCGCGGUAAUA